UGAUCCAAUGGCCUGUGGAGGAGAUUUGAUGAUAAUUUAUUUUCAUCCAUCUGGAACAUGCAGGAGAGUAUCUUGCUUCUGGUGCUGUUGGUGGUGAGCUGAUAAUAUGGAAGCAGAACAAAAUACUGACUCUGGUCAAGUAUGGAAGGUCCUCAAGACACUAUCGUACGGCCUUUCGUUUCUAACAUAUAACAUAUAUGUUGAUAUUGAUAUGUAAGCAAUAUACUAUCAGAUAAGCACUA